ACUACCUCCUCAGGAGCUGCCCACUUUGCUUUUGUGAGACAGGAUCUCUCAAGGCUCCUGGAACUUUCUGGCAAGUGAAGCUAGUGGGCCAGUGAGCCUCAGGGAUCCACCUGUCUCUACUACUCAGGCACUGAGAUUACAGGACCCCAGUGGAGAACUGUCUCCCUGAAGCCAUCACCUGGAUGGGAGAAGAGGAAGCCGAUGUAUUGCCAAGUCAGCUGUGCCUCUGCAUCAUCUCCCAUCUCUGCACUUGGAGCUGCUGAGCCACCAAGAUACAGGAUGGGGCUUACCCAGGAUCUGUGUCAAAGGGCACGGCACCUUCUAAUGUCCUGUUAUCUUGAGGAGCUGCUGUAGGCCUGGGGUGUGGGCACAGUACCUGCUGGAGUGAAGGCUGGCCAGUCAUUUUCUCCAGGUUUGCUGUUAUGGCUCAGGGUGAUGGCCGUUCAAACACGGCGGAUGUCCACUAAUAAUCAGGCACAAACUGGCUCAGUUUCCUACAAAAUACUUUGUUUUUAUUAUCAGACAGGGUCUUGUGUAGCUCAGCCUGCUCUGGAACCUGUGAUUUCCCUGCCUCAGCAUCCUGAGUGCAGACCUGAGGUUAUUUUCAUGCUUCUUAGAUAUCUGCUCUGUGGUCACAGCAAACGAGGUGCAAUCUCUAUGGUGUUAAUCCGGAGAAUGGUCUGUGGGUUCACGAUGACUGAAAGAGAGAACCUUGUCACAGGCUGGGCCUCAUCUCCUUCGCAGACUCACUCCCAGCUCGGUCCCAGCUCACUCCAACAGUGCAUGCUGUCUGUCUCCUGGCCAUGUCCUCUCCCCCAGUCUUUAUUUGAUGUAUACUGACCACCUCACUCAUCCCAGGGGCUCCACCUACAGUUGCAGAUGUUGGAACCCCAGCAGCCUGAGGUCUAGCUAGGGUCUGCUCCUCUAGCUGCACUGGCCUUAAAGUUUUGAGGGGAGGAUGGACCAACUCACUCUGAGGGCCAGGAAUGGGCAAGGCUCCCUCCCUCUUUACACAGACUAUGGCACUCCUGACUGGGGUGGAUACACGAGACAACAUCCCACUGCCUAGGACAGCUUCGCAUAUGCCACUCUUACUAUUUUGGGAGUGAUGUAGGGAGGAAGCUGAUUAAAAAAAUUUUAUUAUUGCG